AACAAACUAACGGUGAAGGGGGAAGUGGACCCAGCAAAAAUCAAAGCCAGGCUUGAAGAGAAGACCAAGAGGAAAGUCGAGAUUAUCUCUCCCCAACCUAAGAAAGACGAUGGUGCCGCUGCCAAAGUUAUUUCCGUUUACAAGCUGGACAUGUAUUGUGAAGGCUGUGCCAAGGAAAUUAGACACGCCGUUAAACAUUUAGAAGGUGAUUUUUAUUUAUUUAUAGCAACUAACAUUUAGCAAUCUAAGAAUUAAUCUAUCUGAGUUUGAUUUUCCGGUUGCUAAGACGAUGUUUUUGUGGGUUUAUUCAGGCGUGGAAGGUUUGAAGACAGAUUGUGCCGGCAACAAACUAACGGUGACGGGGAAAGUGGACCCAGCAAAAAUCAAAGCCAGGCUUGAAGAGAAGACCAAGAGGAAAGUCGAGAUUAUCUCUCCCCAACCUAAGAAAGACGAUGGUGCCGCCGCCAAAGUUAUUUCCGUUUACAAGCUGGACAUGUAUUGUGAAGGCUGUGCCAAGGAAAUUAGACACGCCGUUAAACAUUUAGAAGGUGAUUUUUAUUUAUUUAUAGCAACUAACAUUUAGCAAUCUAAGAAUUAAUCUAUCUGAGUUUGAUUUUCCGGUUGCUAAGACGAUGUUUUUGUGGGUUUAUUCAGGCGUGGAAGGUUUGAAGACAGAUUGUGCCGGCAACAAACUAACGGUGACGGGGAAAGUGGACCCAGCAAAAAUCAAAGCCAGGCUUGAAGAGAAGACCAAGAGGACUUGGAAAGUCGAGAUUAUCUCUCCCCAACCUAAGAAAGACGAUGGUGCCGCUGCAAAAAUCAAAGCCAGGCUUGAAGAGAAGACCAAGAGGAAAGUCGAGAUUAUCUCUCCCCAACCUAAGAAAGACGAUGGUGCCGCUGCAAAAAUCAAAGCCAGGCUUGAAGAGAAGACCAAGAGGAAAGUCGAGAUUAUCUCUCCCCAACCUAAGAAAGACGAUGGUGCCGCUGCAAAAAUCAAAGCCAGGCUUGAAGAGAAGACCAAGAGGAAAGUCGAGAUUAUCUCUCCCCAACCUAAGAAAGACGAUGGUGCCGCUAAGAAACCCGAAAAGAAACCGGAGGGGAAUAAGGAAGAAGCGAAAAAACCACCUCCAGAGGUAAAUAAAUAAAUAAAUUACUGCCUACUAAGAUUUAAUCGUGAAUAUAGACGUUGAUUAUCCUUUUGUUUUCUAUUGUUAGUA
rnacentral:lncRNA from 1 species